UACGUAGGUGGCGAACGUUAUCCGGAAUUACUGGGCGUAAAGGGUCUGUAGGCGGUCUGUCGCGUCUGCUGUGAAAACUCGGGGCUUAACCCCGGGCCUGCAGUGGGUACGGGCAGACUAGAGUGCGGUAGGGGAGACUGGAAUUCCUGGUGUAGCGGUGAAAUGCGCAGAUAUCAGGAGGAACACCAGUGGCGAAGGCGGGUCUCUAGCCAGUUCCUGACGCUGAGGCACGAAAGCCAGGGUAGCAAACGGG
rnacentral:rRNA from 1 species